rnacentral:tRNA from 1 species
CUCCCCGUAGCUCAGUAGGAUAGAGCAACGGUUUCCUAAACCGUAGGCCACUGGUUCAAAUCCAGUCGGGGAGACCA